GUGGAUUAGAUACCCUGGUAGUCCACGCCCUAAACGAUGUCAACUAGUUGUCGGGUCUUAAUUGACUUGGUAACGCAGCUAACGCGUGAAGUUGACCGCCUGGGGAGUACGGUCGCAAGAUUAAAACUCAAAGGAAUUGACGGGGACCCGCACAAGCGGUGGAUGAUGUGGAUUAAUUCGAUGCAACGCGAAAAACCUUACCUACCCUUGACAUGGCAGGAAUCCCGGAGAGAUUCGGGAGUGCUCGAAAGAGAACCUGCACACAGGUGCUGCAUGGCCGUCGCCAACU
rnacentral:rRNA from 1 species